rnacentral:rRNA from 1 species
AUUGAACGCUGGCGGCAUGCUUUACACAUGCAAGUCGAACGGCAGCGCGGGCUUCGGCCUGGCAGCGAGUGGCGAACGGGUGAGUAAUGCAUCGGAACGUGCCCAGUAGUGGGGGAUAGCCCGGCGAAAGCCGGAUUAAUACCGCAUACGACCUGAGGGUGAAAGCGGGGGACCGAAAGGCCUCGCGCUAUUGGAGCGGCCGAUGUCGGAUUAGCUAGUUGGUGGGGUAAAGGCUUACCAAGGCGACGAUCCGUAGCUGGUCUGAGAGGACGACCAGUCACACUGGGACUGAGACACGGCCCAGACUCCUACGGGAGGCAGCAGUGGGGAAUUUUGGACAAUGGGGGCAACCCUGAUCCAGCCAUGCCGCGUGCGGGAAGAAGGCCUUCGGGUUGUAAACCGCUUUUGUUCGGGAAGAAAUCCUCUGGGCUAAUACCCCGGGGGGAUGACGGUACCGGAAGAAUAAGCACCGGCUAACUACGUG